AUUGAACGCUGGCGGCAGGCCUAACACAUGCAAGUCGGACGGUAGCACAGAGGAGCUUGCUCUUCGGGUGACGAGUGGCGGACGGGUGAGUAAUGUCUGGGAAACUGCCCGAUGGAGGGGGAUAACUACUGGAAACGGUAGCUAAUACCGCAUAACGUCGCAAGACCAAAGUGGGGGACCUUCGGGCCUCACACCAUCGGAUGUGCCCAGAUGGGAUUAGCCGGUAGGCGGGGUAACGGCCCACCUAGGCGACGAUCACUAGCUGGUCUGAGGGGAUGACCAGCGAGCGUGGAACUGAGACACGGUCCAGACGCCUACGGGAGGCAGCAGUGGGGAAUAUUGCACAAUGGGCGCAAGCCUGAUGCAGCCAUGCCGCGGGUAUGAAGAAGGCCUUCGGGUUGUAAAGUACUUUCAGCGGGGAGGAAGGUGCUGAGGUUAAUAAGCGCAGCAAUUGACGUUACCCGCAGAAGAAGCACCGGCUAACUCCGUGCCAGCCGCCGCGGUAA
rnacentral:rRNA from 1 species